GUGUCAGGAUGAACGCUGGCGGCGUGCUUAACACAUGCAAGUCGAACGGGAAGACUUUAGGAAGAUUCGGUUGGAAUAAAGGUAUUCUAGUGGCGGACGGGUGAGUAACGCGUAAACAAUCUGCCUUAGAGAGGGGGAUAACAGAUAGAAAUAUUUGCUAAUACCGCAUAAGACCACAGCUAGGCAUCUAGCAGGGGUAAAAGGAGCAAUCCGCUUUAAGAUGAGUUUGCGUACUAUUAGUUAGUUGGUGAGGUAACGGCCCACCAAGACGACGAUGGUUAGCCGGCCUGAGAGGGUGACCGGCCACAUUGGAACUGAGAUACGGUCCAGACUCCUACGGGAGGCAGCAGUGAGGAAUAUUGGGCAAUGGGCGAAAGCCUCGACCCAGCAACGCCGCGUGAAGGAAGUAAGGUUUAGGAUUGUAAACUUCUGUUAUGGGGGAAAAAGAAAGUGAUGGUACCCCAUGAGAAAGCUACGGCAAACUAUGUGCCAGCCGCAGC
rnacentral:rRNA from 1 species